AGAGUUUGAUCCUGGCUCAGAUUGAACGCUGGCGGCAUGCCUUACACAUGCAAGUCGAACGGCAGCGCGGGCUUCGGCCUGGCGGCGAGUGGCGAACGGGUGAGUAAUACAUCGGAACGUGCCCUGUCGUGGGGGAUAACUAGUCGAAAGAUUAGCUAGUACCGCAUACGACCUGAGGGUGAAAGCGGGGGACCGCAAGGCCUCGCGCGAUAGGAGCGGCCGAUGUCUGAUUAGCUAGUUGGUGGGGUAAAGGCCUACCAAGGCG
rnacentral:rRNA from 1 species